CGAACGCUCGCAAGGAAUGUGGUGCCAAUGCCCAAGACUCAGCCAUAGCUGAUUACAUUUUUUCGCAGCAUCCAGAUCUGCUUCGAGCAGAGGAGGCAUCGGACAAACAUCUACAUGGUAGACUCAAAUCCAUGGGCUUUUCAGACGAGCAGAUAGCGAAUGCGCUCG